rnacentral:rRNA from 1 species
UACGGGGGGAGCAAGCGUUGUUCGGAUUUACUGGGCGUAAAGGGCGCGUAGGCGGCCACCGCAAGUCGGUUGUGAAAUCUCCGGGCUUAACCCGGAAAGGUCAAUCGAUACUGCGGGGCUAGAGUGCAGAAGGGGCAACUGGAAUUCUCGGUGUAGCGGUGAAAUGCGUAGAUAUCGAGAGGAACACCUGCGGCGAAGGCGGGUUGCUGGGCCGACACUGACGCUGAGGAGCGAAAGCGUGGGGAGCGAACAGG